AGGCCCCAAAACAGAAAGGAAAGCUCACCACCAGAAUGUGCCUUUUCCUUAUCAAAAAGAAUUGCUGCCCCUUACAGGACAGGAGGACUCCAAUUGUGACCAAGUUGGAGCAGCCUUGAGCCACAACUCAGACUUAUUUUCAUUCUCUGCUCAUUGGCCAUUAGGAACCCGAUCCUUAUGGACCUGCAGUGACCUGCUGCUACCAGAACUGACUCGCUUCAAAGUGACGGAUGAAACCCAUAUGGAGAUAUUCCUGGGGUGGGUAGGCCAGUUGGAAGACAGAGUGUUUACACCUGAGAGAGGACUUGAGGAAUUUUACUCAGUCACGUUGCUCACUGCUGCGCACUCCUGCAGACGCAUCCCAGUGGACUCUGCGCUGCAUCCCCAGAGUACAGCGAGUUUCCCGCCUCCCGUUAGAGAUCCAACACAUAUUUUUUUUGAAAGAAGAAACUGAUGGAAGACAGGAAGCAAAAAGGAGAGGAAGGAAAGGGAUAGGAAGGAGGGGAAGGAAAGGGAAAGGAAGGAAAAGAAAGGAAAGUGAACUUGAAAUCCUACAAGGUCUCAAAGUCAAAAAACAUGGAUUGCUGUUUUAGAGAAUUGAAGAUCCUUCAUCUUCAAGAAUCUGAAAUCUACCAUGAUCUUCACAUGUAGCCAAACACAAUGGGAUGUAGUCAUUUAAGAGUGCUGUGAAGGCAGUGGAAAAGCAGUUGAAAUACCAUUAGUUAACAGAUUGCCCAAUGAAGUCGAUGACAACUGUGAUAACAAGUUACUCACUAUCACAGCGUCUCCAAGAGAUGAACAGUGGAUGAUGCUUCCAAAGCACAGAUGUCCCUCUCCUCCUCAACCUUCUCUCCCCAGAAAGAUGUCAACACUGUGGAGAUUGUGCUAUGAAGAUACCUGGCACCCAGUUCCGGAUUUCACACCAAGCCUUUGCUGAGGAUAUGAGAGUAAUAAAAAGGGGAGCCCUGGUUCUUCCUCUCCUUUAGUGUCUUUCCUGGAAGUGGACUGCGAGAAGAGCUUCUUCAGCCACCUUCUGCCUGCAGACAACCUCCAUGAGUUUGCUUUAGAAGAAGGCUUCAAUUUGAAGAAAGUCAAAUAAAACAAGGGUCAUUGUGUUUGCAAUUGAUCCUUGGAGACAGCGACAUCUGCGAAGCUUCCAAGCCACGGUGGUUCCACCUUCACAAGUAUCCUUCAAAGGCAUCCUGCAACCACCCCAUCCAUCCAAGUACUCCGUUGUAGGAUUCAAAAGCAAAUUGCAGGGUUUGCUGCCUGGCAGAGAAGCAUAGACACAAAGCAUGAGAGAGCAAAACCUAUGAGUUGACCAUAUCAUAAACACAAAUAGAUAUAUGCAGAAUACCAGCUAAAAAAUAGGCAAUAAACUUAAACAAUAGGACUAUGAGUAGACAUAGCAAGUGCUGGGUAGAGAUGACAGUUUUGUGUCCUGUUAGAGCUAAGUCAGAAAUCUGGGUCGAAGUGAAUGUGAGGGAGGAAAAGGCCAUUACAAUAUUUAAGAAGCAGCUCCAAUAUUUUUAAAACGUGAAGGAAAACUUGCAAGCAAUCUCUAGGGCUGGAGGGAGAGAAAUGCAAAGCCCUCUCAGCCUGCUCCACCAUUAUCUUUUGCAUUCCAAUAACUGACAUGCUGCUGAAUGUUAUGACUAUUUGUUUAUUGUUGACUGUUCUUGGCACUGCUCAGUGUAGCCAAAGAUUCCUUGCCUACAAGAAAGUCUUGCUCAGACAAUAAACCACGGAGAAAGAAAA
rnacentral:lncRNA from 1 species